rnacentral:rRNA from 1 species
CCUACGGGAGGCAGCAGUGGGGAAUAUUGGGCAAUGGGCGCAAGCCUGACCCAGCAACGCCGCGUGAAGGAAGAAGGCUUUCGGGUUGUAAACUUCUUUUGAUAGGGAAGAGUAGAAGACGGUGCCUGUCGAAUAAGCUACGGCUAACUACGUGCCAGCAGCCGCGGUAAUACGGAGGUGGCCAGCGUUGUCCGGAUUUACUGGGUGUAAAGGGCGUGUAGCCGGGUUGACAAGUCAGAUGUGAAAGCCUGCGGCUUAACCGCAGAACUGCAUUUGAAACUGUUGGUCUUGAGUACUGGAGAGGCAGGCGGAAUUCCUGGUGUAGCGGUGAAAUGCGUAGAUAUUAGGAGGAACACCAGUGGCGAAGGCAGUCUGCUGGACAGCAACUGACGGUGAGGCGCGAAAGCGUGGGGAGCAAACAGGAUUAGAUACCCCAGUAGUC